GUUGUGAGAAGUUCAUUAAACCUUAUCAUUUAGAGGAAGGAGAAGUCGUAACAAGGUUUCCGUAGGUGAACCUGCGGAAGGAUCAUUG
rnacentral:rRNA from 7 species